UUAUUUUCAUUGCUUAGUUUUUUUUAAAUUAUAUAAAAAUAAAAAAUAUAUUUGUUUGGAUGCAUAAUUAAAAAACAGGAUUAUAUGUCGAUACUUUUUCCAACCAAGAGAAGAAUCCAUUUGAGAUAGAAAAAAUAUUUAUUAAAAAAAAUUGUAGAAUAAAUUUGAUAUAAAAAAAUUAAAUAAAAUACAAAUAUAAAAGAACCAGAAGU
rnacentral:lncRNA from 1 species